AUCACAGACCGUGGAAACUUAACACUGGACUUCAAGCAACUUGGGCUAUGAGCUUCUCCACCCUUUCUCCAGACUCUAGGACCUUGGUUUCCAAAUGAAAUACAAAACUUGCUCUCAUCUGAAAAGAGGACUUCAGACCACUGGGCAACAGUCCAGUUCUUCUUCUCCUUAGCCCAGGUGAGACACCUCUGACGUUGUCUGUGGUUCAGGAGUGGCUUUAACAAGAGGAAUACGACAACUGUAGCCAAAUUCCUUGACACGUCUGUGUGUGGUGGCUCUUGAUGCCUUGACCCCAGCCUCAGUCCAUUCCUUGUGAAGUUCACUCAAAUUCUUGAAUUGAUUUUGCUUGACAAUCCUCACAAGCUGCGGUUCUCUCGGUUCGUUGUGCAUCUUUUUCUUCCAGACUUUUUCCUUCCACUCAACUCUCUGUCAACAUGCUUGGAUACAGCACUCUGUGAACAGCCAGCUUUUUUGGCAAUGAAUGUUUGUGGCUUACCCUCCUUGUGAAGGGUGUCAAUGAUUGUCUUCUGGACAACGGUCAGAUCACUAGUCUUCCCCAUGAUUGUGUAGCCUAGUGAACCAAACUGAGAGACCAUUUUGAAGACUCAGGUAGUGGUGGGCAGAUCAAGGCUUCGUGAAGCAAUGAAACAGUUGAAGCAAAUGUCCCAUACUAGCUGUGUCCCAAAGUUGAGUGUGCAGACUUCGAAAGACCAGACCUCCGAAGUGCACGAAGGGUCCUCUGAAGUGCGUGAGAUGCUCCGCCUUCACAGGAUUUCCUAAUUCCGCCACCAGCUGUUUCCGAUCAGCACUCUGUCGCAUAGCAACGGUGCGAGAAGAGCGCUGACGAGAGGACAGUCCUGCCAGGACAGGUGGAGCCAGAACUAUUCAUUUUUGUUUUUAUGUUUUACGUCGUAAUGGAGGAGACAGUUAUGAACCUCAGGCUUAACCAAGACCGAGGCCAGGUAAAUUACACUGGUUUGCUGCGAUCUUUGUCGGAUUACAACUUUAAAUGCAGACCAGACCCCUGUACUGCAGGAUAAAGCUGAAUGUGCCAGCGCUGGACAGGUGUUUAAUGGUUUUUAAUGGUUUUGGCCCUGACAGUGCUGCUGGAUCUACUG
ensembl:lncRNA